rnacentral:piRNA from 1 species
UGCUCUGUAGUACAGUUUUAGGUCC